rnacentral:rRNA from 1 species
GAUGAACGCUGGCGGCGUGCCUAAUACAUGCAAGUCGAGCGAACAGAUAAUGAGCUUGCUCCUUUGACGUUAGCGGCGGACGGGUGAGUUACACGUGGAUAACCUACCUAUAAGACUGGGAUAACUUCGGGAAACCGGAGCUAAUACCGGAUAACAUAUUGAACCGCAUGGUUCAAUAGUGAAAGGCGGCUUUGCUGUCACUUAUAGAUGGAUCCGCGCCGUAUUAGCUAGUUGGUAAGGUAACGGCUUACCAAGGCAACGAUACGUAGCCGACCUGAGAGGGUGAUCGGCCACACUGGAACUGAGACACGGUCCAGACUCCUACGGGAGGCAGCAGUAGGGAAUCUUCCGCAAUGGGCGAAAGCCUGACGGAGCAACGCCGCGUGAGUGAUGAAGGUCUUCGGAUCGUAAAACUCUGUUAUCAGGGAAGAACAAAUGUGUAAGUAACUGUGCACAUCUUGACGGUACCUGAUCAGAAAGCCACGGCUAACUACGUG